AUUACUCACGUGAGACGCUUACGGCCGAGGUCACGUGGGGUUCAAAGCAGAAGUAACUGCCUAGCGAAGAACAUGGAAACUCAUCAGCUGCAGAGACGAGCAGAUGGCCCAAAGAGCAGAAGAGCGAGCACGCCGAUGUGAACCGUAUCGAGACCGCAGUUGACGGCUGAACGCCUUUGAUCCCGCGUGCGAGAGCGAUGAACUUUGGGUUUCGUGUGAAAGAGUAGGAAAAUCGAUAUUGUAAAGCCUCAUUUGUUAAAGCGUGGUGUGAACUGUGUCAAGAUUCAGAAACCUGCAUGAGAGAUAAAGUCCUUGAAGAUGAAGGUGAAUCAGAGAGAUCAGAGAUGUUAAGAGAGACACCGGGGUUUCUGAUAAGCCCCCGGAAGGGAUAAGGCGAGGCACGUACGACACGAGAGGUACGAAAGGCACGGAAGGCACGGUAGAAAAGUGACACGACACACCCCGGGAUUGCUCUGUCCUGCGCACCUCAGCACUGUGAGCCAAAGUCUUGGACUUCGACUUAGCUCUCAUAUGCGUGGGGACGAGAAGCCACGUGGGGCACAAGGGAAGGCCGCCUCACCGUCUGGCACGUUUCUGGCAGGCUGUUGUCUC